rnacentral:rRNA from 1 species
GACAGAGGGGGCAAGCGUUGCUCGGAAUCACUGGGCGUAAAGGGCGCGUAGGCGGGAUGGCAAGUCGGUCGUGAAAUCCUUCGGCUCAACCGAAGAACGUCGGCCGAUACUGCCGUUCUUGAGGGAUGCAGAGGAGAUUGGAAUUCCCGGUGUAGCGGUGAAAUGUGUAGAGAUCGGGAGGAACACCGGUGGCGAAGGCGGGUCUCUGGGCAUCUCCUGACGCUGAGGCGCGAAAGCGUGGGGAGCAAACAGGG